rnacentral:sRNA from 1 species
GGUAUUUCUUUGAAUAACAGUGAAUUUGAAAAAAUAUAGAUAUAUACAUAUUUGGCUGUUCAUGUCUUUUGGUUAUUCAAAUUAAUAAGAAAAGAUAAUUAUUAUAUUAAGGAUAUAUGAUUUAACUGUCUCAUAUCAAAAAUAUUUUUUCCAGUUUGUAAUUUUUUCUCUUCAGUGUUGCUUCCUUUAUAUUGUUUCUUUUUAAUUUAUGUGUUCAAAAUUGUCAACCAUUUAAAAAAAAAUUUGCCCCAGGAAUCAUGCUUCAAAAGUUAGUUCCUUUCCCAAGAUCAUGGACCUGGAAUGAAUUGAUUUUCAGAACUUAGUAGGGUGACUGCCUCUCAAAUCUUUUCCUUUUUCUUAUCAGGAAAGCAAUAGAAGAACUGCUUAAGGAGGCAAAACGUGGGAAAACUAGAGCUGAAACAAUGGGACCCAUGGGUUGGAUGAAGUGUCCUCUUGCUAGCACCAAUAAAAGAUUUCUAAUUAACACAAUUAAAAACACAUUGCCCUCUCAUAAAGAGCAAGACCAUGAACAAAAAGAGGGCGAUAAGGAACCAGCGAAGAGCCAGGCCCAAAAAGAAGAAAACCCGAAGAAACACAGAAGCCAUCCUUACAAGCACAGCUUCCGCGCUCGAGGUUCCGCCAGUUACUCCCCGCCACGAAAGCGGAGCAGCCAGGACAAGUACGAAAAGCGGUCCAACCGGCGGUGAGGAUGGAACCAGGGCCAGCCAGCCCUGCGGGCCUCCGUGCUCCUUCGGGGUGCGGUGUGCGGAGAAGGCAUGAGCUGGCAGGGCAAACACCUGAGAGUGACUUUGACAGUAGGUCCUUUGUUGUUUUUAAAGAGGCUGCUGGCCACGGGCAAAAAAUGACCUAGCAACUCUUGAGGAAACAAGUACAAAGGAGGAUGUCUUGGCAAGUUUAAGCUACUUCUGCAGUGUAGUAGACAUAUGUAUUGUUGUUUAUCUUGUUUGGAAGUGUGUUUCAAAAUAAACAUGUCUAGAAUUUAAAGUUUUCAGA